CAAGUUUAGGGUGUGAUGCAUUAGGACAUUAAAUGCAAUAUAGUGCAGAAGGAAAGGAAAAAAGGAAAGGAAAAAAAAAUUGCCUAUUGUGUCAGUGCCCAAAGUUUUAAACCUACUGCAAAACAUGUACCCUUUAGUCCCUGAGGACCGACCGUACUUUUGACACCAUCCUUGCUCUAUUUACCAUGUUGUACUGCAUGACUGAAAUGGUGAUCUUUGCACUGUGUGACAGCUCUCAUGUUGAGGUCGAUAUCUGGUUGGUAUUUGCUCCCAAGUGCAUGAUGUAAACAGAAACAUCAACCUCUACUUUCACUGUUUUUCGGGGUGUUCAAGUUCUCACUUGAUGUAAUGUGCGUUUGUUUACUUGCACAUUUAAAUAUGUCAGAUUUAAUUUUGGACUGUGAGGUUUUACUGUUUGAGGUGUUUUAACACCAAAACCCCUCUUUACAACUGCUUGUAUAUUGUACUGUUCUGGUGGUUCAGCAGAGCUACAACAGGAAAUGCUGUGCUCUGUUAAACGCAAGUAUGUGUUCGUCUGUUUUCAUGAGGAUUUGGGAAAUACUGUUGUGUUCUGUUUAUAUGUAGAGGUAUUUGGGUUCAGGCCGUGAAACGCAGUUUCUCCUGAUUAAUCGGGAUCCAACCUCUAGUUGUGCGUUUGACUACACUCUCUCAUCUUCUUCCAUUUAAUGCACUCUGAAUUUGAACCAAAGCAUUAACUUCAAGGUAGCUGCAUGAGAUGUUUCUUUCAUGCAAAUAUGCAAAGAGAUGCUUCAUAUUCAUCAAGGAUUCCGUUUGUUUAGUCCAACUGAUGAAAUUAUUGAGUUUUAUUUAGUGUGUUUUUUUUGGUGAAGAGAUUAUAGGAUUUGAAUUAUCCAUAUCCAGCACAUAAUUAUGCUUAAAACUAUGCAUCAAAUGUCACUAUUUGUGUUGCUUUGGCCACUUAACAUUGUGUGUAAAGGGCACCAUGACCAUACGCUGUAUUUUCCCCUCAUAGCAUCGGCCACAAUAGAAAUAGCAAAGUAGAGUCCGUUGGCGUUUGAAUCCUUGGAGCUGAACACUACAAAGCUCUUGUCUGACUUAGUUCGCAUGAGUUCCCCGUCUCUGCCUCAUUAAGCCUCUUCUCUCUUGUUUGGGUGUAUUAAUAGCUCAAGAGGAGGAAGAGGCAAAGUGGCCUAUAUUGAGCUCCGCUCUGGGAGCCGGGCGCUAUCAGCUCGUGUGCUGCAGGGCUGUUUGUUCCAAAGAAAAUCGCGUAGGCGCAGACCGUCUCUGUGGGACCCAGCUCGCUUUCCUUCGUAGGGACAAUGACACCGUAUCACAGGAAAGGGUUACUUUAGUACAAACGUCUCGAGAAGCCACAUUCUUUUUAAACUAGGUUUCCACCCUUGAACAAAGAACAAAAAAAUGUUUAGAUUUGGUGUCCCAUUGGCUCUAUAUUUUUGUUUUAUUGGUUCCCUGGGAAUUAAAUGAAAGUUCACUGUUCUGGAAACAGUGCUUCAUCCUUUUCUGCUUUUAUCCGUGUCUCCAACCUGCUAUUCUAAACCGUUUGUACCCUUCUGAAGUUAGUUUGGAUCCAUAGGAUCUGGGGAACUUCUUACCGCUGUCAGUCGUGUGUGAGCCCGGUGUUGGUACCGAAGCCCAGUGUGUCAUCUUGUGUUCUUUGUGACGAUGCUGCGGCUGUGAGAUCCGAUGGAGCUGUCCGCGGUACUGAAGCCACCAAACCUUUACUGCAUGUGUGGAAAAGGUCAUCGAAAGCAUUUUAUGAAGGAAUCUGAUCAAAUGAGGUGUAGUACAAGUCAAACGUUUGGAUUCACGUUCUCAUUCAAUUGACUGAGUUCCAAUGAAAAACAGUUCACACUAUGUUUUGUGGAUUAUCAAAACUGAUAAUUAUGGAAAUUAUAAAUGGCAGUUUCAAAAGUAAUAAUUGCAAUUCUGAUGGCCACUUGAAACCAAAGGUACAACAUCCGUCUUGGAAAUUGGCUGAAAAGACUCUUAAAUGAUCCAGGUUAACUUGCGCCUUCCAGAGAGGUCGUCAACACAAUCGGCUACAGAAGGGCACGUUUGUCUUGCUCAGAGACACUUCAGCAGCUACGUUGGGGCUUGAACGUGUAUUUAUUAGGGUCACUCAGCCCGGUGUUACUGUUAACAGAUACGUGCGAGAAAGUUUUACUGUUUCGCCUCAAAGACGGAAACAUUGAUCAUUUGAUGUACAAAGGUUUGACAUUCAGUCCUCAAGCCAACUUGUCCCUUUCGACAUGAUCACCAUCGUCUUCGUCACGUAUGUGCCAAUGCUUGAUUUCUGACUAUUUUUCUCUUUCCAUCAACUCUAAUCAUAUUCUUGUCAUGUUGUUUACUGAAGCGUGUCAACAGGUACUGUAGCAGUAAUUCCCUUUGAGAUUGGUUGGUAUUAAACUGUUAAAAAAAACACAAUCAAGCUUUAAAAGGCAAAACUUUGCACUUGCAUUUUUAUCAUGCAAUUGGUUUUUGUAAAAAGAGCAAAAAUUCUUAAUUUUGUACCGGUUCAGAUGUUUAACUUAUCCAUUCGUGUGUUUUUGUUCUUUGCUGUGGGCCAACACAUCUGAGCCCAAAAUAUAAACCUCAACAACGAAUAGUACUUUUACUGCGAGGACCCCCCCCCCCCCCCCCCCGUGCACACCUGCUUUCUUAGGACACUGUGAACUUCAUCAUUCACACCAUUGACAUUCUGAGGAAGAAAACUUUGAUUUGCUUCAGUAAAGGCUUUACUUAGUGGCUGAAUACGUCUUUACAUUUAAUAACCUGGAACCAGACAGAAUGAGUCUUUUAAUAGAUAUUUGGUAAGUGUAUUACUGAAGAUAUUUUGUGAUACCAGGAUUUGUGUGUAUGAGAGGUCAGAAUGACAAUAAAUGUACGAUGUCCUGUCCAUUUAUUGGUCUUUACUAUUAAAGUAGGUACAACUACAACGGUUUUAUAUUUAAAAAUGCUAUUCAAGGCCGGUUAGGACCAUGGGAACUUUAGUUCAACAAGCAGCCUCUAGAUGGCAGUGUUUAAUAAAGUGCUUCUCAAAGAACACUUUCCUGUGCAGCAUGACCUCCUUUCUGAGUUUACGAUGUAUUCAUAGAUUAGUAAAAUAUUAGAUUGUGUGUUAGAUUAUGCUUCCAAAGCAAAAUGCAAUUAGUCACUCUGUCUGGCCGGAUUAGAGUGUAGUCCGUAUGUACCUGGGUGAAUAAAUGCAUAUGUAUAACCAAACUAAGAUGUCUUUAAAAAGUGAUCUGUAAUGUAGAUGUCCAGUCAUAUUAUUUUUGUGCUCUGAUUAGAAGAAUGAUGUGCCGUGUGGAUCUGACAAAAGGUUUCAAGUCUCUUUUAAAAAGCCCGGUUAAGAUGAACCAAAAUGUGAUAUUGUGUUGACAACUAAACAAGUGUGAGACACUUCAGAGCACUAAGUGAACUCUGCUGACAGGAGGCUUCUAGAUAACCUUUAAAGUACCCAUAGAGAGCAGUGUUUGUAGAUUUGUCCUGUUUAGUUUAGCAAGUUAGGGUUGUAUGUAUCCUUUUAGAAAAGAUUCAACUGUCACAUGUUGCAAUAAAAAUAUGAUCUAAUAUUACUAUUAGAUUCUAUUCUCCAAUCGGGA
ensembl:lncRNA